GACAGAGGGUGCAAACGUUGUUCGGAUUUACUGGGCGUAAAGCGCGUGUAGGCGGCUUGGCAAGUCGGAUGUGAAGGCCCACGGCUCAACCGUGGAAGCGCAUCCGAAACUGCUUCGCUCGAGUCUCGGAGAGGAAGGUGGAAUGCUUGGUGUAGAGGUGAAAUUCGUAGAUAUCAAGCAGAACACCUGCGGCGAAGGCGGCCUUCUGGACGAUGACUGACGCUGAGACGCGAAAGCGUGGGGAGCAAACAGG
rnacentral:rRNA from 1 species